rnacentral:rRNA from 1 species
UACGUAGGUGGCAAGCGUUGUUCGGAAUUAUUGGGCGUAAAGGGCGCGUAGGCGGUUUGUUAAGUCAGUUGUGAAAGCCCGGGGCUCAACCCCGGAGGGUCGACUGAUACUGGCGGACUAGAGUACGGAAGAGGUAGCUGGAAUUCCCGGUGUAGCGGUGAAAUGCGUAGAUAUCGGGAGGGACACCUGAGGCGAAGGCGGGCUACUGGGCCGAUACUGACGCUGAGGAGCGAAAGCCAGGGGAGCAAACGGG